AAAUAUGGUUUUCCAGCCAAGGCUCACCUAGGUCCCUUUACUCUAAUGCUAAAGUUAACAAGUUCAUCCACAGACUUAGAUCCUCCAAACAAAUUUUUAAUUCCUUACUCUUAAUCAUGAACAGACACCCAAGCAUCAUCAGGCAUCAGAGGAAUCUUCCAACAUGGAUGAUAGAGACCAAAGGAAACAAACCACAAGAAACAACUUGGAGGACACAGAGAUAAGGUUCUUCUGGACCAUAUCUGAACUGAGUCUAGGAGGACAGGCAAGAUCUCAGCACCUGCACUCACCAUCCAGGAUUCCUAGACUUAGCAGCGUGCGUGUUCAGGUAGGCGCUGGGCACUCUGGGCUGUUAACCCUGGGGUUGUGA
rnacentral:lncRNA from 1 species